GAUAAGGACUUGAAAACUGACUUGCAGUCUCUCUCUUCUGUGCCACACAGAAAGAUUUCUGCAGCCUGCAAUUUCUCUUGGCUUAAACAAUACUUAUCAAAUGAGAACAUAACUAUAUAGUAGCUUCUGAUGCUGUUUAACAGAGUUGGCUUUUAACUCUGCAGAAGGUUUUCUGCCCAGGGGAAAAAAAAAAUCUAUAGAAAGGCUAUAAACCUUAUGGAUUAAUAAACAACACCAGAAAGACAUCAAAGUAAGUACAGUGAAUUUUGAAAAAAAGGAACACAUGAAGAGGAGGUCUUGCAUCAAGAACUGACUACAUAAAUGGUGGCAUCAUCAAUGGAGACUAGAUUUGUAUUUAUGCUCAAGAAAGAAAAGAGUAUGAAGAAAAAAAUGUUCUAGAAUCUCUGGAGUCAGAUUACUUCAAAAACCAAACUGAAUUAAAACCAACAAACAAACAAACAAACCAACAAGGAGAUGAAGCCUUAGAAGCCCUUAUAUAAAUGUUUCAGGACAUCAAGAACACCUUGCUAAAUGAAUUUCCUAUGCAUAAGCAGCAUACUCAUUUUUCAUACCUCAAUAUUUAAUUACCAUGUGAUAAUAAUACAAACAGUGAGAGAGGAUAGCAGUACUUUCCACAAGACAACAACAGUGUUUUUCAUUAAAAAUAAAAUGUCCUUUCUGCACAGAUUUUUUUUUCAAUUUUUAUUUUUUUUUAGCAUACAAAUUUAAUUAAAACACCAGUAACAUUUUUUAACAUUGAUCAUAAAUGGAUUAUAGAACAUAGAAUGACUCAUUAAAAUGAGCAAGAUAAACCUGCAAAUAGGGAACAUUUAAAUUUUCUUGACUUACCACCUUUUUCCUAUGCUUCUUUAAUUUUUAACAAUACCACGUAUGAUUUUUUAUGUGUCAUUAGUGGCACUUACUGAGAGUAGGACUGGAAUCCAAACAACCUCAUUUUCCUGUUGCUGGCACUAACAACAUAUGUUUUCCUAACAUCAGAUCUUCAACAAUAACAAUAUUAGCACAUUUCUUAUAUAUCCAGAACUUUCCUCCUUUUCUGUUUCUUCAGUUGGAAGUUUAUUUGUUUGUUCUGCAUCUUUAUUUUAUAGGUAGUCAUUUUCACAUCUGCAAACAUUCUUUUUCUUUAGAUUUUUUUUGUUUGAUCAGUGUUAGGAUGUUAUGCAGUUAACUUCUUUUUAUU